GGUGAGGUGACACGCGGCAGAUAUAGCUCACAACAUAUCACCGGGUAACACACUCACCUU
rnacentral:pre_miRNA from 1 species